AAAGUCGUAACAAGGUAACCGUAGGUGAACCUGCGGUUGGAUCAUUACUGAAUCAACAUAACGGUCAGAAAUGACCUUGGUUGAACCAACCUAAAACAUUUUGUGAACCGUCUUGUCCCUGGCGGCGGGGUGGGCGUAAGUGGCGGAUGGGUCCUGCAAGGGGCUCCGUCCGUCCAACCCACCUGUCAGCUCGGUUGGCCCAUUCGGGUUGGCCGUGCCGUGGACAAACCGCCAAAUGUCCUAAACCUGUCAUUUUUUCUUUUGUCUGAAAUCAAUCUGUCUAUUAAAUACAGAAACAACUUUUGGCAACGGAUCUCUUGGCUCUC
rnacentral:misc_RNA from 1 species